CCGUUCCCCUCCCUCUCUCUCCUCCCGCACGGCGACAGGGCGAGAUAAAUCGAUUCGUAUGCGAGCGUCGCCGGCGACCGACGACAAGCGGCGGACCGGCGAAGCGAGCGCCACAUCAGGGGAAGGUGGUCACCAGCAAGUCCACGGGGCGGGGGGUGGGUGUGGUGAGUUGCUCGCGCGCGCGACCAGGGAGAAGAGGGAGUUGGGCGUGGCGGCGGCCGACGGGGGACGAGGCUCUCUACUACGUGCACGAACAGAGAAGUCAAGUGCAAGAGAAUAGGCAACAUAAAAUUUCAAGAGCCAACAUCUUCUCUAUCAUCCAGUUCUACAGGGAAGAGGGGAGGCAAGAACAUGAGGGGGAGAUUUUGUGCAAGAUCAAGUUUCGCAACACAUGGUACAGGAGGCAUUUUUGCAGCUUGUAUAUCACACAGGGAUGUGCAGAGGUGGAGUUCCACUAGCUCUAGAACUAACAGAAUCAUGCCCAAAAAUUAGGGAGGGCCUUUUUACCUUGGUGUGUUCACGUGAAGAAAUUUGCCCAGUUCUGAAAAAUUCUUUGCUGAAGUUUCUCCAUAGUAUUGCCUAAUCCGCAACAAAGAGUUGCAGACAAAAUUGCGUU